AUGAGCAAUGUCAGCGUCUCAUUGGUAGACACUUUUGACAGGCAUGGGAGGCUGUGCUCCCACCUGACCAACCACAGAGGAGGCACGCGCCAUGUGGAAGCCAACGCGGCACGCCCCCACCCCCCCCCUCUCCCACCCCCGGCAGAAAGCAAAAAAAAGAAGAAGAGAAUAGAAGCGAGAAGAAGCGCUGCCUCCUACAUCUGCUUAACAUUCCCACGAAACACGAGACGGGCGAGCUGUCAGCGUGCACGCGCAUCCAGCUCGUGCAGUCGAUGUUUCUGCACAAACGUGUCCGCAUGCACAGUCCAGGAACCUGGCAGCUUCCAGCAGGACGUGCACGUUUUUCAGGAAAGUGUUGAUCUGCUCCAUGCGGGAGUCUCUGGAGUCAAAGACGUCAUUGAAGCCGCAGCUGGACUCGUCCAAGUCCUGCGGGUCCAGGACAGACGGCUCGGUGUCAGAGAGGAAGCCUUCAGUCCUCAAACUUCUCCUCGGCAUCUCACUUUUGGCCAUUCUUCCUGGUCGGUGGAGACUGUGGCGCAGCGAGCAGUGGAUGCUGCACGUGCAGGCUGCGUUUCUGUGCGGGUUCCUUAUUCUGUGUUGUGUAGCGGGUGUUUAAUGUCAGAGGAUGCUGCUGCGCGGGGAAGAGACCCCGGCCCCGCCGCCUGCCACGGCUCCGCAUGGUCCUUGUGCCUGCCGGAACUCAGCCUCUCCAUGAUGGGGGAUACCUCCAACUCAUCUCAAUUUUAUUUAAUAAACCAAUAAUUAUAUCUACAAGACUAAAUUUAAUUCCGUUAAGGCCUUUUCUACGUAAACUUAGCGCGAUUUCAAAGUUUCCUUUUCUGAUGGUCUUUGAACCCUCAGACACUGAAACUGUCAGCGUCAUGACUGUGUCAAUGAUUCUACCAUGAGUCCAGGAUUAGAGCCAGGAACCACUUUUACUUUAACACAAUCAGUCACACCGUCUGCAGAUGCCAACAAAUGUUCUAUCACAAAAAAAGGAAGCUGUGGGAGAACACAGUCAUGUCCUUUGGGCCAAAACUCCUAACAUCCCAUACUUUGGAUCAGACAAAUCCAAAUUUGACAUUUUCAUCGUCUUCCAGGUCAAUGAGAUGGAAAUUUUCCGAGGUCAUCGACUCUGAUGGGAUGCACAUGUGCCUGUUGUGAAGGCAGCCUGCAUAUAAUGCAAAAACAACUGAAUACCAAAAGGUAAACAAGCGUUUUAGGGAAAUGUGUGAUCCCCUCCAAAUGACGACGAUGUUUGGGAACUUGGUCAGUGCAAAACCACAGACGACCGAUGUUACAAACGUCUGCUCUGGAGGAGCCCAGCGGCUGAACUGGCCUGCAAUGAAAGAUAUGGUGGAGCCCUUGACUGUGUGGGAGAACGGGACUGAUUGACUCCUCCCCCUGGCGUUCCAAACAGGAAGUGGCUCCAAGAAGCCAAAAUAUGGUAGACUUCUAUUGAGAAAUAAACAGCUGUUACUCAGUCAUUCCAUUGGUCAGAAGAACCGUUCUGGAUCUGGUUCCUUUUUUUAACAUGUUCUCAAUAAUUCUUAUAUUUAUGAUAUUUUUUCUGUAGUUCUAGUUAUAAACAGGCCAAACAGAUGCCUCAAUUGAAGUAGGCGAAGUGCCUUAUAAUCCAGCGUACUCUUUAGGACAGAAAAUAUAAUAAUCCAAUUUUUCUAGUCUUCUUGUCCAUAUGUAACCUUUGGCAGUAAAACAUACUCCUGAACAUGGUUAGCCGCUCUCUUCAGACUGGGAUCUUCCCCACGUCCACAAAGACUGUUCUGGUGAGACCCGCUCUGAAGAAGAGCGGUUUAGAUGGUUCAGAUCUAGACAAUUACCAACCAGUGUCAAACCUACCAUUUUAAGUACACUUUUAGAAAAGCUUGGCUUUUUAUUACAUUGUUUUAUGAACAAAAAUAGAAUUUUUCAACAUUUUCAGUCUGGUUGACCUCGUCACUCCACAGAGAUGGCACUGGUUAAGGUUAGAAAUGGUCUCAGUUCCAACACUGACAUAAAGAACCAUCAGUUUUAGUUUUGCUGGACCUGAGUGCAGCCUUCCACACAGUUGACCUCUCAGUUCUUUUAAACAGACUGCAUGACAUGGUUGGAAUCACCCAAACAGUUUUUGGCUGGUUUGAAUCCGCCGUCACAGGAAGAGAUUUUAUUGUCAGAGUAAAUGAUGCUUCAUCUGGGAGGCACAGACUGACAUGUGGUGUGCCACAUGGUUCAGUCCUUGGCCCUUCAUUUUUUAACCUGUACAUCUUUCUGCUUGGUGACAUCAUCAGGAGACAGCAUAAACUUUCAUAGUUAUGCUGAUGACACCCAGUUAUAUCUGGCUGUGUGUCCUGAUGACUUGGGACCCAUUAAUGACCUUUUAAGCUGUUUUAAGAUAUUGAAACACGGAUGGAACAGAACAUUCUAAAGCUGAAACAAUCAAGACGAAAUAAAAGACUGGCUUUGAAAUUCUUUUAGUUCUUGUUCUCUUUAAAUUGCUACAAAGAAUUUGACCAUGAGUAAAAAAUAUAUUCUAAAACUAAUCUCACAUAACACCACACCAUGCCUCUUUUUCUAUUUGAAAAACAAAGUCUGUAUUUUCACAGGUAGCUCAUGUGAGCCAACCAACGACUGCUUGGUGGAAGGAACUCUCCAGAAUCUCCUUUGACCUGACAUGAUGGAAAACCUCCUUCCAGCCAUCUGACAUGACCAUUGGGAUUCUGGAGGCGGUUGGCUCCGACUUUGGCUUCUAACACUGUUGUAAUGGCACAAGUGAACUUUUCUGUUGCCACAGUUCAAAGCCAAGCUAUAAAAGUAUCUCCUUUCCGUGACAUCAAGCCUAUUCGUGCUAGCUCUAGAGCACAUGUGUCAAGCUCCAGGCCUCAAGGGCCGGUGUCCUACAUGUUUUCUAGCCAACCUGCCAUUGAAGCUCCGUAUUGGCUAAACACACCUGAAACAGGUAAUCAACAGCAGAUGAGGCAGGAUUUCUGAAAAACCUGCAGGAGGCCGGCUCUCGAGGCCUGGAGUUUGACCCCCCUGCUAGAGGAAUGGAGUAAAAGGAAGUUUUUAAUGAGUUCAUAUUUUAAAAUUCAUUACAGUUAAGC
rnacentral:lncRNA from 1 species